CCAUGGGAUUUCCCAGGCACAAGACAAAGCGCCAAAUGAACAUUAGCACCCAUUUAGCUAGCAUCUAAAUUCUAUGCGGUUUGUAAUACCUUCAUUUCACAUAGAGAAAGCCGAUUCAGAGUUCAGACAGCCUGUUUAAGCUUUUGAAUAGAUAAGAAAACAAUUACUUUCAGAUAAAUAAGUAUAUAUUUAAGCCCAAUAUUAAUCUUUUCUUCCAGAGCUAUUACUAACUAGUCUGCUAUUGCCUCCAAGAUAAAGAAAAAAUACUGAAUAGACUUGCCUGUUCUUAGCUCCUGGGAGAAUGAUUGUAUUCUGGAAGCAGACAACUCAGCAAUUAGCAAUCAAAGCAUGAACUCAUGUUGCCAGCAACUGCCUGCACCUUAAUGUUUCCUCUCCUGCCUAAACUAGAACAUCAGAAGUAUGAAGACACUACAGCAGGAUAGCACUGGAUGAAGUGGAAGAACCAUCCCAAUUACUUUUAUUUCCACUUUGAGAAAUGAAUCUUCUGGAGACACAUAGCAGUUGAAAUUCUUCGUCUGGCACCUUCCAGACUAAACAGAAGUUAAGGCUACUGUUUUGAAUUUCUGAUAGUGUUGAAUUUUUGGCAAUGGCAAGUGGAUAUUGAGAAUGUGCACCAAAAAGAACAAUAUAAAUAUG